rnacentral:RNase_P_RNA from 1 species
AGAGUCGGCUGAGCAGUCGCUGUUUUACCGUAACGGUAAGAUGGAGGAAAGUCCGGGCUCCACAGGGCAGGGUGCCAGGUAACGCCUGGGGGGCGCAAGCCUACGGCAAGUGCCACAGAAAAUAUACCGCCCCUCACCUGCAAUCUUUGAUUCCAGAUGAGGGGUAAGGGUGAAAAGGUGCGGUAAGAGCGCACCGCGCAACUGGCAACAGGUGUGGCAGGGUAAACCCCACCCGGAGCAAGAUCAAAUAGAGGAACAGACGCGCGGCCCGCGCGGUUCCCGGGUAGAUUGCUUGAGCGGCAAGGUGACUUGCCGCCUAGAUGAAUGACUGUUCUCGACAGAACCCGGCUUACAGGCCGACUCUUAAA